AUUGAACGCUGGCGGCAUGCUUUACACAUGCAAGUCGGACGAGUGGCGAACGGGUGAGUAAUAUAUCGGAACGUACGGAGUAAUGGGGGAUAACUAAUCGAAAGAUUAGCUAAUACCGCAUAUUAUUCGAGCGGCCGUUAUCUGAUUAGCUAGUCGGUGGGGUAAAGGCCUACCAAGGCGACGAUCAGUAGCGGGUCUGAGAGGAUGAUCAGCCACACUGGGACUGAGACACGGCCCAGACUCCUACGGGAGGCAGCAGUGGGGAAUUUUGGACAAUGGGCGCAAGACUGAUGCAGCCACGCCGCGUGUCGGAAGAAGGCUUUCGGGUUGUAAAGGACUUUUGUCAGGGAAGCGGUACCUAAAGAAUAAGCAACGGCUAACUACGUGCCAGCAGCCGCGGUAAUAC
rnacentral:rRNA from 1 species